rnacentral:rRNA from 1 species
GUUUGAUCCUGGCUCAGAACGAACGCUGGCGGCAGGCUUAACACAUGCAAGUCGAACGCUCGUAGCAAUACGGGAGUGGCAGACGGGUGAGUAACGCGUGGGAACAUACCCUCCGGUUCGGAAUAGCUCAGGGAAACUUGGAUUAAUACCGGAUACGGCUGAGAGGCGAAAGAUUUAUCGCCGGAGGAUUGGCCCGCGUUCGAUUAGCUUGUUGGUGAGGUAACGGCUCACCAAGGCGAUGAUCGAUAGCUGGUCUGAGAGGAUGAUCAGCCACAUUGGGACUGAGACACGGCCCAAACUCCUACGGGAGGCAGCAGUGGGGAAUAUUGGACAAUGGGCGCAAGCCUGAUCCAGCCAUGCCGCGUGAGUGAUGACGGCCUUAGGGUUGUAAAGCUCUUUCGCUCGGGACGAUAAUGACGGUACCGAGAUAAGAAGCCCCGGCUAACUUCGUGCCAGCAGCCGCGGUAAUACGAAGGGGGCUAGCGUUGUUCGGAAUUACUGGGCGUAAAGCGCGUGUAGGCGGGUCUUUAAGUCAGGGGUGAAAUGCCAAGGCUCAACCUUGGAACUGCCUUUGAUACUGGAGAUCUUGAGUCCGAGAGAGGUGAGUGGAAUUGCGAGUGUAGAGGUGAAAUUCGUAGAUAUUCGCAAGAACACCAGUGGCGAAGGCGGCUCACUGGCUCGGAACUGACGCUGAGACGCGAAAGCGUGGGGAGCAAACAGGAUUAGAUACCCUGGUAGUCCACGCUGUAAACGAUGGAUGCUAGCCGUUGGGGAGCUUGCUCUUCAGUGGCGCAGCUAACGCUUUAAGCAUCCCGCCUGGGGAGUACGGUCGCAAGAUUAAAACU